UGUAUUGUACAUGUAUUGCUGGUUGCCAUAAACCCGUAGAUCCGAACUUGUGCUGUGCCCCUCUCACAAGCUCGAGUGUGCGGGUCUGUGUCGGCUUGGCUACGGCGGCGUGAGUGAG
rnacentral:precursor_RNA from 14 species